rnacentral:misc_RNA from 1 species
GUUUUGCGCGGUCUUGCCUAGGCAACAGUUCACUUGUCCGUUCUGCUUCCCUCCUUUGAAGUUCUCUCUUCAAAUCAAAAUCUAAUUUUCUCUCUCCGUCUCUAUGUCGUUUUACAUAAAUAUCUGUCGUACUCUCUCUCUUUCUCAGCAUCUUCCAUUCAAAUCCUCUUUCUCUAGAUGCGUGAGUGGGGGUUCAAGAGUGAGUUUAUUAGUCCAAUUCUGAGAUGGGUUUCAGUUUGGGAUCAGUGGUGGUGAGAUUGGGGUUGAAAUCAGGAACUGAUGCAACCCCUGUUGAUUCUAUAACUUUGUGUGUGGCACUCCUUUGUGCCUGCAUUCUCAUCGGUCAUCUUCUCGAGAAGAAUCGAUGGAUGAACGAGUCAAUUACGGCCCUUUCCAUUGGCCUCUGUACUGGGCUUAUUAUCCUGCUAACCACAGAAGGAAAGAGCUCACACCUUUUUCUAUUCAAUGAACAGCUUUUCUUUAUAUAUGUUCUUCCACCUAUCAUUUUCAAUGCUGGUUUCCAGGUAAAAAAGAAACAGUUUUUUCGAAACUUUAUGACAAUCAUGCUAUUCGGUGCUGUUGGGACUUUAAUAUCCUUUAUCAUCAUAUCACUGGGUUCGGUGCAGUUAUUCAACAAAUUAAAUAUUGAUUUCUUGGACACAAUGGAUUAUCUAGCACUAGGAGCAAUAUUUUCAGCCACGGAUUCUGUUUGCACCUUGCAGGUGCUCAAUCAGGAAGAAACACCUUUGCUUUACAGUCUUGUCUUUGGAGAAGGUGUGGUAAAUGAUGCCACAUCUGUUGUGCUUCUCAAUGCAAUUCAACGAUUUGACCUCUCCCACAUUACCUCAAGCAUUGCUAUGAAGCUGUUUGGCAAUUUCUUAUAUUUGUUUGCUACAAGCACAUUGCUCGGUGUGGCAGUGAGUUCCUUUCUCUCUCUCCCUCUCUCUUGACUAUGUUCAGUGUUCGUGGCUUCUCAACACCUCUUCUUUAGAUCAAAUAAGAAUUUUGCAGGUGAAGCUAUCCAUAUGAUCAUGAUAACUGCUAUUUUGUUUUUAUUUUCUGGAAUACACCAAUAGCACAUGCUAGACUCAUUUAAGAUCUAAUGUAUCUUGUAAGCUAUAACAUUUUGUUGUACUUUCAGGUUGGAUUAGUAAGUGCUUACAUCAUAAAGAAAUUGUACUUUGGCAGGUAUCUUAAAGGGCAGUAAUUCUUUUUCCUCAAUUUGUUGUUUAGAUAUGGGGAUGAAUUCAAUCUCUAGAUGUAGAUAAAUUUUUCAAUAGUUUUAUUUCUGGGGCUUGGCUACCUAGGAAUUGUAGCCCUCCUCAUUCUUAAUCUUUAAACUUUUCUACAUUGUUUGAUUUUGAAAGUAAGUGCAAGUAUGAAUGUUUUGAAAUAUUUUACUUCUGUGAUCUAUUUGUUAUUUUUCCACGAGUCAAGAAUUGUGUAUUAUGAUAUUAAAUUGUGGCAUAAAUUUGGCUUUUUUUUUUGUAUGUUUUAGAAAAUUGUCUGGUAUGGCCAAGUAAUUAUAUACUAUGAGUGUCUCUUUUUUUUUUUUAAUUUGGAAACUAAAUGAGCUAAAUUAUUCGCAAUUUUAGGCACUCUACUGAUCGUGAAGUUGCUCUGAUGAUUCUCAUGGCUUAUCUUUCAUAUAUUAUGUCUGAGGUAACAUUCUACUGAUUUGCUAAGCACCCCAUGAAAUUCUCAUGAACUUUUUACUUAAACAUAGUGUCUGAGCUUAGAUAGCAUCUUACUUUCUGCUCUAACGGGUGUGUUGUGGAACUUAUUUGUCAUCCAGUUGUUCAAUUUAAGUGCCAUUCUCACCGUGUUCUUCUGUGGGAUUGUCAUGUCGCACUACACCUGGCAUAAUGUGACUGAAAGUUCAAGAGUCACUACCAAGUAAUUCAAAUCUUUGAAACCGUUUCUCGGGACAUUGAAAUUGAUUUGGUUCAUAUAGUCAAGUUCUUCCCCACUGUGGGUCAUUGAUGGCAUGUUACUAAAAUUCAUGUGCUUUUGAUUCAUUUCUGCAGACAUGCUUUUGCAACGUUGUCAUUUAUUGCAGAAAUUUUCAUCUUUGUAUAUGUUGGUAUGGAUGCCUUAGACAUUGAGAAGUGGAAAUUUGUGAGCAAGAGGUAAUCCUAGCUAGAAGUCUACACAAAUGUAGUUUCGUUAAGUCUCUUGUUUUGAUAUGUUGUCCAUUUUUGUUCUUUGCCUGGUUUUUAACAGUAUCAGAUAAGCAUUCUCUUCUGGUAAAUAAUUUGAGAUUUGUAAUUUACUGACUGCAAAUAGCAUGUAUUGACUUUAUACUUGAUUUUUAUAGUCCUUGCAGAUCCAUUGGUGUGAGUUCAAUACUUCUUGGGCUAGUAUUGGUUGGAAGAGCUGCUUCUAUAUUUCCUUUGUCCUUUAUAUC